rnacentral:rRNA from 1 species
CGCGGCAAGACGGAAAGACCCCGUGAACCUUUACUAUAGCUUGACACUGAACAUUGAGCCUUGAUGUGUAGGAUAGGUGGGAGGCUUUGAAGCGUGGACGCCAGUCUGCGUGGAGCCGACCUUGAAAUACCACCCUUUAAUGUUUGAUGUUCUAACGUGGACCCGUGAUCCGGGUUGCGGACAGUGUCUGGUGGGUAGUUUGACUGGGGCGGUCUCCUCCUAAAGAGUAACGGAGGAGCACGAAGGUUGGCUAAUCCUGGUCGGACAUCAGGAGGUUAGUGCAAUGGCAUAAGCCAGCUUGACUGCGAGCGUGACGGCGCGAGCAGGUGCGAAAGCAGGUCAUAGUGAUCCGGUGGUUCUGAAUGGAAGGGCCAUCGCUCAACGGAUAAAAGGUACUCCGGGGAUAACAGGCUGAUACCGCCCAAGAGUUCAUAUCGACGGCGGUGUUUGGCACCUCGAUGUCGGCUCAUCACAUCCUGGGGCUGAAGUAGGUCCCAAGGGUAUGGCUGUUCGCCAUUUAAAGUGGUACGCGAGCUGGGUUUAGAACGUCGUGAGACAGUUCGGUCCCUAUCUGCCGUGGGCGCUGGAGAACUGAGGGGGGCUGCUCCUAGUACGAGAGGACCGGAGUGGACGCAUCACUGGUGUUCGGGUUGUCAUGCCAAUGGCACUGCCCGGUAGCUAAAUGCGGAAGAGAUAAGUGCUGAAAGCAUCUAAGCACGAAACUUGCCCCGAGAUGAGUUCUCCCUGAGACUUAGAGUCUCCUGAAGGAACGUUGAAGACGACGACGUUGAUAGGCCGGGUGUGUAAGCGCAGCGAUGCGUUGAGCUAACCGGUACUAAUGAACCGUGAG